rnacentral:tRNA from 1 species
GCGGGUGUAAUUCAGUGGUAGAAUGGAAGCUUCCCAAGCUUCAUAUGUGGGUUCGAUUCCCAUCACCCGCUC